UUAAAAAGGUGCUGAAAAAUAUCAAUUUCAUUAAGUUUUGAUGUUAAAAUGCCAAGAAAAAUGGUUUAAGGACUAAACCGGAAAUUAAUUUACUUAAAGGGGUGAAAAAGUAAAUUUACAAAAUAAAGAGGGGUUGUAAACUGAAAAUUUUCAAUGUUAAUUCAAUACACUCGUUGUGAACCAAGACUGACACUACGACUCUCGAUGAAUUACAAUACACAAUAUCACCUACAAUCGUUAUCAAACGAAUUGAUUCGGUCUCGAAUUGAUAACAAAUCCAAAACUACUAACACUACGACGCUCAAUACACACAUGGAACUCUCGGAACUCUAUACACUCGUGGAACUACUCUAUACGUCGACGUACCUUCCUUAGGCCCAAAAGUUUCAAAUCAUGCUUGUUUGGCCUAGCUAGCCCGAUGACAUGAUCUUUAGGCCCAAAGGAUACUUGCUUACAUGUAGUUGGGUCCAAUACGACUUAACCUCGUGUAAAAGGACUUUCAAUGGCAAACGUGCUGCUGGUCCCCUAGGGUCCUUCGGUACUGCUAGUAAAGUCGGGAACUCACGAUUGCGAGUUGGGCUUCGGGCCCUUCGCAUUCGCAAUGGUCUUGAACGACGUAGGGAAAUACCGAGGGUUUCGCACCUUCUCCUUUUCCCUUCGGUCGUGGGACUACACAAGUCCGGGAGGGUUGGGUUAUGUGAAUAAGUGCGAGCGACGCCUAAGGGAUCGCUUGUACGGUUGUCAACUGGACGUUUUCAUUAACGUAUGUUACAACAAUUCACAACCCACUGUACACCCAAUGCCUCCGGAGCUCAACGAAUACACCUGUCGUAACGAAAUAACAACACAUGAACUAAUUUAAAGCAAAGUAUUAGGAAAACGUCGGGUUUUCCUAGGGUUUUCAACUAUUACACCUACGAACUACAUAACGAGUUUUACAAAUCGUACGCUUACAUCUAUAGAAAACAAACAAGCAUACUUAUGGAUCUUCACACCUUUUUGACUAUACUAUUUUCAGAAAAUAUCGGAUUUUCUGGUGGUUUUCAAACAAUACAAAACAUUGGAUUUCAAACACUACUUAUGAACUCACCAACAUUUCAUAUGUUGACGUUUUUCAAAAUACUUGUAUUCUCAGGUAACAGAUAAAGUGAAGGAUGAAUUGUACUCUAUGACGUUUUGCUGUUGUUUAAUUAGUAUCGAACAAUUACUUUUGAGAAUGUAAUGUUUUGAGACAAUGUAAUGAAUGUAAACACUAUCAGUUGUAAUAUUCAAAUGUUGGUGAUGAAUGAUGUUAUGUUUCAUGUAUAUUCAUUGUGAUGGUAUUCAAUUGAGUCACAACAGCCCCCGGACGUUUCCGCCGUCUGGUUCGGGGGUGUGACAGGUUGGUAUCAGAGCUCUGUUUAUAGUGAACUAGCAUAUCUAACCAUACAUUGAUAUGCAACUAUAAACCAAAAGAGGGACUAACAUAACUCUGAACAAAACAAGUAAAAAACAACAAUAAAACACCCUUGCUUGUAUUAGGAACGAGAACCUAACACCGAACCAAACAAGAUAAUGCUAGUAUCUCGGUUAAUUCAGGACUGUUCUAAGUUGUAUCAACGGGCGGAUGUAGCCUGAUCAACUACAUUCCCUCCAAGGUACAACCAUCACAUGUCGUGAAGAAAUCGUGAUAGCUAGGGAAUCUAAAAUCAUACCCCUUAAUCCCCAAGAAGGGAACCCCAACCAAAUCUAUGCAAUAGUUGUAGGAUUAUAGGAGUAAUUGGUAUGCUAUUUGAUUCUAGUAUUCAUAGCCCUUCGUGCAAUACGCUAUAGACAAGUAUCAUUAGUCAGGAAACCCUAUCUCCCUAGUCAAGGAAUAGUAGGGUGGCUCGACCCAGAGGAAGAACCACAGGAGGAACAUGAAGUAGAACUCGCAGGUGAACCCGCUGAGUCAAUAGUGGACCUCGAAGAGGAAGAGCCCAAGGGCAAUGAUGAUGAUGACUCGGAUGCAGAAUCUGAUGUCGUCAAUCAUCCAUGAAAAGCCGGAGUACCGACUUAUCGUGUGGGCCCCGGUGGCCCUAUGCCCCCUGGGCAUACGAAAUUUGGAGAUAGAGUCACCAGUAGGGAAUACGGCCACACUACAGUAAGAGCUGAGGUCUCUUUAAUCUUAGUCAUAGAGGACCAGCCGACCGGGCCCUCCCAGUCUUGGUCCGACGCACCCGAGGUAUUGAUAACCAAGCUCAGGACACCCCAAAUUGAACGGAACAAAUGCGGUUUGCUAUUGAGAGGGAUGAGAGGCAAACACGGGAAGUGAAUGGAGACUCUCGAGCGAGACAAUUAGUUUGGGAGGUACGCCUACGAGAUACCGAGCAACAAGUAGCUCGUCUCCGAGGUGCAUCCACUUCACCAGCACCACCACCAGACACUUUCCGCCACAAUUAGGAUCAGCCUUUUCUUUUCCCCCCUACUAUCUGACAUGACUCUCUUUCGUGUACUAAGAUGGUGCUUACCACUGGAACAAUUAUGUAGUAUCCUUAUUUUGUAUUACUACAUAGACUCAAUCAUAUGCUCGAGCGAACCCUCAAAACCACUAGAUACUUAAGGAUCUCGAAACCAGAACAACCUAUAUAGACGUAACGAAUCGUGCCAAAUCUGAGAUUACAUACUACCGCAAACACAUCGUAGGGAAAUAGAUGGAAGCAGUGAGAAUUAUACAACAAGAUACAAAAUUUAUAGAGUACAACCAGUAAUGACGAUCAUUGCUUACGAUCUGGGUUAUCAACGUGCAUCAGGAAAAUGCCAUCCCGCAAGAAUAACAAGCGCACCUGCGAGACACCACUCCUGCUGAUGGACUCUGCUACAUUUCAAGCUGCUGUAAUGGCAGCAGUAACCGCUGCUAUGGCACAGAUCAAUGCAAACAACCCUAAUGGAGGCAGGAAUAGCAUUNCUUUAUUUCAUAUUACUACGUAGACUCAAUUAUAUGCUCAAGCGAACUCUCAAAACCGCUAGAAACUUAAGGAUCUCGAAACCGGAACAACCUAUAUACUCUAAGGAUAGACGUAACGAUCGUGCCAAAUCUGUGAUUAUGUACUACCGCAAAUACAUCAUAGGGAUGUAGAUGGAAGCAGUGAGAAUUAUACAACAAGAUACAAAAUUUAUAGAGUACAACCAGUAAUGACGAUCAUUGCUUACGAUCUGGAUUAUCAACGUGCAGCAGGCAAAUGCCAUCCCGCAAGAAUAACAAGCGCGCCCGCGAGACACCGCUCCUGCAGAUGGACUCUGCUACAUUUCAAGCUGUUGUAAUGGCGGCAGUAACCGCUUCUAUAACACUAAUCAAUGCAAACAACCCCAAUGGAGGCGAGAAUAGCAUUGACAACUCCAGCCAAAGAAACAAAUAUGGAAACCAACAAGUGACAACCUAUCAACGGACUCUAAACCCCAAGCUUAAGAGCAGGAAGCUGAGGUCUGGAAGUAAGAGAAGGGGACAUCCUACUCAAGGGUUCUCAAGGGAGCAACAUGUUGUUGCUGUUCUUGCGACCAUGACCCCUAUUACCCCAACAACCAGGAGACCAUACGUUGGAAUCCUUCCAAAAUGCAACCAGUGCAAAUUCCAUCAUAAUGGAGCCUGCAAGGAGAUGCAUUGUAACAAAUGCAACCGAAAGAAUCACAUCGCCAAAUUUUGUAGAACUUAUCCAUGCCAGAAUCGUCAGCCAAAUGAAAACGACAACAAUCGCAACAACCCUAACGACAACACCAAUGAUGAGACCAGUCGCACCUGCUAUAGGUGUGGAGGAACUGGUCACAUCAGGCGCAAUUGCCCCAGGGAUAACAAUCGAGGAGCAGAAGGAUCAGAAAUGGUACUGACCUUGGGUCAAGGCGAAGCAAUCCAAAACCCAACGGUUGUUACUGGUACGUUCCCACUUGACAACUCUUUCGCUUACCUCUUAUUCAAUGGUAAAUCCGAGUGAAGUUUCGAUUAGUAUCAAAUUCAAACACUUACUAAAACAACAUCCCCAAAGCUAAGCUAAGCCUUUUCAAUGGACAUGGCCAAUGGGGAAAACCGAUUUAACUUAGGGUACUUAUGUGGAGUACACCUUAACACUAGACAACCAUUCAUUACAAAUAGGUUUCAUGCCAGUAAAUAUUAGGAGUUUUAAUGUGAUAAUCGUCAUGGUUGGGUUAAGCCCCCACCGUGCUGAUACUAUGUGUCGCGAGAAGGCCGUUUGCCUUCACCUUCGUAAUCACAAAAACUCUAAUAAUCCAUGGUGAUAAACCUGGCGCAAAUCCUCUUUCUAUCUCGUGCAUCAAGGCACAGAAGUGCCUGCACCAGAAGAACUACGUUUUCCUCACUCUUGUUGUGGACAAGACCAAGGAUGAAGUAAGCAUACAAGGUAUUCUUUUAGUAUGCGAUUUUCCGGAUGUAUUUUCUGAAGAACUUUCGGGAAUACCUCCAGAAAGACAAGUCGAAUUUCAAAUCGACCUCAUACUGGGAACUACAUCAAUUGCCAAUUCACCCUAUACGAUAACUCUUGACGAGAGAUUCACGAGUUACCCAGUCAAUUGAGAAGAAUUGUUGCACAAAGGACUCAUCAGACCAAGCUCCUCAUCCCGAAGAGCUCCGAUCUUGUUCUUCAAGGAGACAAAUUCUUCGGAAGCUCCAAGGAGCUAGUUACUUCUCUAAAAAUAGAUCUAAGAACCGGUUAUCAUCAACUUCGAGCCCGAGAAGAGGACAUUCCAAAAACUGCCUUCCGAACUCGUCACGACCAUUUCAAAUUCAAUGUGAUACCCUUCGGUCUAACGAAUNCACUAUUCAUGGACCCUACAAACCAAGUUUUCUCAACCACUCCUAGUCAGCCUUUUCCUUAUUUCCAUCAAUAACAUACUCAUCUGCUCACAAAGCGAGAAACGAGACACUAUCAUCAUCUAAGACCAGCCUUGAAAGCAUCAAAGCUGGGAAUGUCGCGACGAAAGCACUGCAUGGAUGGAUAAAACUCUCGAAGUCGAAAGACGAAGCUUUUUGUUAUAAGAGUUGAGUUGGGCGUUAUCUGGGUGAUUGUCGAUAGGUUAACCCAAUCUGCCCAUUUCCUGCCAAUACAGAAAUCAAACAAGAUGGAAGGAUUAGCUUGGAUCUAUAUCCAGGAUAUCGUAAGACUCCAUGAAAUAUCGGUACCUACUAUCUCGGAUAGAGAUAACAGACUUUCUUCAAGACUAUGGCAGUCACUUCAGAGGGCUAUGGGAACAUAACUAGACAUAAGCGUUGCUUACCACCUUCAAACCAACAUCCAAAGUGAACGAACCAUUUGACCACUCAAAUUCAUGCUACAAGUCUAGGUGUGUGAGUUCAACAAGCCAAGGGAUACCCGAUUUCCCUUGACAAAAUUCUCAUACAAUAACAACUAUCGCACGAGCAUCAAGAAUGCUCCUUUCGAAAACUCUUUAUAGUCAUAAAUGCAUAUCACUCGGUGGUACUCUCAUGAGACCAGAAACCAUUAACGAAACAACAGAGAAGAUAAUCCAAAUCAAGGCUGGACCUCAAGCAUCACGAGACCGAUAAAAGAGCUCUGCUGACAAGCGACGUAAGCCAUUAGGAUGGCAUGUCGGGGAAUUGCGUGUUAUUAAAGGAAUCUCCUGGGAAUUGAAUGAUUCGCUUUAGGAACCAAGAAAACUAAACCCACGAUACAUCGGACUGUUCGAGAUUCUUGCUUGGAUUGGUCCAAAGACAUAUAGGCUGUAGCUGCCUGUAGAGCUAAGCAACGUAAAACCUAUGUUCUGUGUCUUGAAUCUGAAAAGAUGCAUAUCAGAUGACACUCUUAUCAUUCCGUUACGAGAAAUCGGAGUAAGCGAGAAUCUCAUGUUCGUCAAAGAACCAGUCAAGGUAUUGGAUAAGGAAGUAGAACAUACAAAACAAAGCCCCAUUAUGAUUGUGAGGGUUCCAUGGAAUGCUAAGCGUGGACCGAAAUUCACAUGGGAAACGUGAAGAUCAGAUGAAGUGCCUAUUCUCUCAUUCGCAAACCUAUCCUUAGAAAGAAUUUCGGGACGAAAUUCCCUCUAACGGGGGGAUGAUGUCACAACUAGUAUUUUUAGCUAGGAAAUUGUAUUCUCAUAUAAACAUCAUCCAUUGCAAAAUCAUGUAACCUAUGAGAAUACUAUACUCCAUUCUCAUUCAAAUGUAUCUCAUAUGCUCAAAUAAGGGUUGGAAACCCUAGAUAUCCCCUUUCAAGUCCACUACGGCCUAGGAUUCUCUUAUUGGGCCUAAAGGACCAACAAACCUUCAAGUCGACUAUUUUGGGCCUAGAAACCCUAAGUGGGCUCUAAAUAGACCACAUUCAUAAAACUUUAGCAUUUUGGGCCAUGUGGGCCUAAANGUGGUCCUAAAAUAAUCCAUCUUACCUCUAAUGAGCCUUGUUGGGCCAUCAAAGAUUUCAUUUGCCCCAAUGGGCCGAAAAUUUAUUUUUGGGCUUCAUAAAUUCGAGUAUGGGCCCAAGAUGAUUUCUUUCCUCUCUCUUUAGCCCAAAUCUGCCCAUGUUUAAUAAAUAAAAAAAAAGAAAGAGAAGAAAAGAGAUAAGGAUGGUGAAGGAAAUAAAAACAAAAUUGGAAAUUAUGGAAAUUUGUGAGGAUGCCACCUUCCUAUUGCAUGGUGGACAUCCAUGCAAUGUCACUUCACUUCUCUCCUCUCUCUUUCUCUUCUUAAUCUCGGCCUAAGGCCAUUCUCCCUCACCAAAAAUCAUUCAUGUUUCCUUUCACUCCCAAAAACCUCAAGAACUCUUCCAUUUUCUCCAUAAACCCGUGAGUGGGUGUGUGUGCACAAGAAAUUUCAUCAAACUCACAUACUAGGUAAGUUACUUCACCCUCAAGUUGUAUAAAUUCAUCUAUGAUUGAAUCCUCCUAGAAACAUCACAAAUCUCUUGAUUAUACUACUAGAAACAUCAUAGUUUUGAGGAUCCUCUCAAGAAGCAAGCUAGGCCGAAAUCUCUUCAAUUCUUCAUCCAAAAACCGAAAUCUUCAAACAAGGUGAGCUUCAUACCCCCUUAUUUUCGGUUUUUAUAAGUUUUGUGGGGGAGAAUACAAGCAAAUGUGUAGAUCUAUCAUUAUGUGUAUGCCUUGUAUGAUUUCUAUGCUUAUAUGUGUGUUUUUGUGUGUUUAUAAUGUUGGAUCUAGCCAUAAACCCCUAAAAAUCGAGAUAUACUUUAUGUUAAAUGAUACUAGCAUCAAAUAUAUUUCUACAUACAAAGUGUUCCAAGAAAAAUAGCUAAAUGGCUUAAUAACAUCUUCUUUGGGCUAAAAACUCAAUUUUUGGACAUAAAAUGUUAAAAAUAUAAAGUUAAAGGGCCCAAAAUGAAAUAUUUCGAAUUCUGAUGGGUGAGAUGAGUCAAAACAGUUUCCAUAAUGUAUUUUCUGAAAAUAUACUCUUUUGGAGGAUUAAAAACAUAAAUUUCAAGCUUAAUGGGCUAAAAAUGACAUUUUCGGCCCAAUAGGGCCCAAUAUGCGAAAUUUCCAAAACUUGAGGGGCUGAACCUUAUUUUUCUGCAAAACAGUGGGUUAUUAGUGUUCUAAAUACUUUUCAAAGGUCAAAAAUGCUUUCCAUAGUUAAAAAGGACCAAAGUUGCAAAAAUUUUCCAAUUUGGGCCAAAAGUGUAAAAAUUUCGAAAUAAAGGGCUACAACCGAGAAAAAUUGUAUUUUCAGGGUCUAAAACUGUUUUCAAUUAAAAAGGUGUUGAAAAAUAUCAAAUUCAUUAUGUUUUGAUGUUAAAAUGCCAAGAAAAAUGUUUUAAGGACUAAACCGGAAAUUAAUUUACUUAAAGGGGUGAAAAAGUAAAUUUACAAAAUAAAGAGGGGUUGUAAACUGAAAAUUUUCAAUGUUAAUUCAAUACACUCGUUGUGAACCAAGACUGACACUACGACUCUCGAUGAAUUACAAUACACAAUAUCACCAACAAUCGUUAUCAAACGAAUUGAUUCGGUCUCGAAUCAAUAACAAAUCCAAAACUACUAACACUACGACGC
rnacentral:lncRNA from 1 species